UUCUCAGUAGCUCAGUGGAAGAGCUAUCGACUGUUAAUUGAAAGGUCGUAGGUUCAAAUCCUACCUGAGAAG
rnacentral:tRNA from 1 species